AUUGAACGCUGGCGGCAGGCUUAACACAUGCAAGUCGAGCGAGCGGCGGACGGGUGAGUAAUGUCUGGGAAACUGCCUGAUGGAGGGGGAUAACUACUGGAAACUGUAGCUAAUACCGCAUACCAUCAGAUGUGCCCAGAUGGGAUUAGCUAGUAGGUGGGGUAAGGGCUCACCUAGGCGACGAUCCCUAGCUGGUCUGAGAGGAUGACCAGCCAAACGGGAACGGAGACGCGGUCCAGACUCCUACGGGAGGCAGCAUCGGGGAAUAUUGCACAAUGGGCGCAAGCCUGAUGCAGCCAUGCCGCGUGAGUGAAGAAGGCCUUCGGGUUGUAAAGUACUUUCAGCGGGGAGGCGUUACUCGCAGAAGAAGCACCGGCUAACUCCGUGCCAGCAGCCGCGGUAAUAC
rnacentral:rRNA from 1 species